rnacentral:misc_RNA from 1 species
AAGUCGUAACAAGGUUUCCGUAGGUGAACCUGCGGAAGGAUCAUUAAUACGUAUCCACGUAUCAACCGAAUCGUGAACAAGUUUUCCGCCUUGGUCGAUGAGAGGAAUUGCGGUUCAGUUUUACCACUCACUUUGAUGGGAGUGGAAGAUGAUGUGCAAACUGCCGGUCCUAGAGGCUUCGCAAGAGGUUUCUAGCUCAUCCCAAGUGUGGCUCAUAAAUCUGACACAUCAUCAUUUUUUCAAACUUUUAACCCCCUGUAAACAAUUCUGAACUGAAAACAUGUUCUUUUGCUUUAACCGGCAAAAGUCCAAAAAUCCGAAAUUAUGAAACAACUCUUAACAACGGAUAUCUUGGUUCUC